GACGAACGCUGGCGGCGUGCUUAACACAUGCAAGUCGAACGGAAAGGCCCUGCUUUUGUGGGGUGCUCGAGUGGCGAACGGGUGAGUAACACGUGAGUAACCUGCACUUGACUUUGGGAUAUCUUCAGGAAACUGGGGCUCUUACCGGAUAUGAGCUCCUGCUGCAUGGUGGGGGUUGGAAAGUUUCGGCGGUGGGGGAUGGACUCGCGGCUUAUCAGCUGGUUGGGGUGGUAGUGGCUUACCAAGGCUUUGACGGGUAGCCGGCCUGAGAGGGUGAACGGCCACAUUGGGACUGAGAGACGGCCCAGACUCGUACGGGAGGCAGCAGUGGGGAAUAUUGCCGAAUGGGCGGAAGCCUGAUGCAGAAACGCCGCGUGCGGGAUGACGGCCUUCGGGUUGUAAACCGCUGUCGCCGGUGACGAACCGUGAGUGACGGUAAUGGGUAAAGAAGCACCGGCUAACUACGUG
rnacentral:rRNA from 1 species